ACGUCGGCAGGCACAGACGUGACCUACUUGCGCUAUUGACCUGUUGGUGAUGCUGGUGGGCGAAGUGUUGAAAGGGAGAGACGUGGAUAAGAGGGAGAAGUCCGUCCAGGUGAAGGAAAUGGUGGAGGAUACCAGGUCGGGAGGACGAGCGGCGAAGCGAGGGGACAGGGGCUGAAUGCACUUGACGCAUCAGAACACGGAGAGAACGAGCGACUGCCGCAUGCGGUCCCAGCGCGCGCAGCCUACUACUACUUAUCUUAUCCAUUCACUACAUACAUACACACACACAUACACGAGUAUUUCGUGUCUCUAGAAACAUGUGGGAUCUUUCUUCCCGAAGAACUGACCAAACUGUCAUUGAAUACCAUCGUCGUUCUUUUUAUUAUAAUUUCUCUUUCGAGUAUCAAUAAAAAUCACGCAAAUUCUAAUUGAUAACAA
rnacentral:misc_RNA from 1 species